CUCCUCAGCCCUUGGGCGGUGGAUGGGACUGGGCUCCGUGGAGCAGGGGGCGGCGCUCGUUGGGAAAGCUCGGGCCGCGCAGGAGCCCACGGCGGGCUGGGGAGGCUCAGGCACGGCGGGCUGCAGGUCCCGAGCUCUGCCCCGCGGGGAGGCAGCUAAGGCCCGGCGAGAAAUCGAGCACAGCAGCUGUCGGCCCAUGUGCUAAGCCCCUCACUCCCCGGGUCGGCGGGGCCCGCCGGCCACUCCGAGUGCGAGGCCCGCCGAGCCCACGCCUACCCGGAACUCGCGCUGGCCCGCAAGCGCCGCGCGCAGCCCCGAUUCCCGCCCGCGCCUCUCCCUCCACACCUCCCUGCAAGCUGAGGGAGCCGGCUCCGGCCUUGGCCAGCCCAGAAAGGGGCUCCUACAGUGCAGCGGCGGGCUGAAGAGCUCCUCAAGCACGGCCAGAGUGGGCGCUAAGGCCGAGGAGGCCCCGAGAGCGAGCGAGGGCUGUGAGCGCUGCCAGCAUGCUGUCACCUCUCAAUAGUAAGUUCUGGAAGCUGAGAAGUCCGAAAUCAAGGUACCAGCAGGGUCCGGUCUGCUGAGGGCUGCUCUCUGCUGUGCCCUCCAGAGAGAACAAAUGCUGUGUCCUCCAGGAGGAAGAUGACCUUUCAUCUUAUUUCUCAUCUGCUGGUCCCAUCAACCCUAACUUUGUAUCUGCUAAAACUCAGGGAAGAGUGGCUUAUUUAAUUGGUGAAUUUUAGAGAAGAAAUUGAGAAUGUCUGCUACUUUUCAUCCCUCCUGAAACUACUACUAUUUUUAGAGGUGCCUAACAUGUUGACCUGCUCUUUGUCUUCUGAAUCUAAUUGGAAACCAUCUUGGAACACACAUGUUGUAUAAAAUGAGAUACCACUAUCUGCAUCUUGUGCCUUUUGUAACAAUAUAAUAAAAUUGUCAUAUAUUGAUUGCCGGAAUCAAUACCAGGACAUUUACAUACAUUUUCUGAUUUAACUUUUGUAAUAUGGGCAGUCAUUUUGAUUCUAUCGGUCAGGAAGUGGUGACUCAAGAAAGGAAGUAAUUUGCCUAAAAUUACAGGACUGGACCCAGACUUUCAGAUCCCAACAUCUUUAUACUUAAAAAAAAAUUCAUCUAUACUCUGUGUGUUCUAUUUUAGUAUAUGUUAUUAGAAAAUAACAGUAAUUCUCUCUCUCUCUCUCUCUGCCUCUGUGUGUGUGUGUGACACAGAGGAACUAAAUAGAAUGAUAGGAAUGCAGCAUCUGGCCACAUCUCAGGGAUGUUAAAUGAGAAUCUACAUUUUAACAAAAUGUCUAGUUAAUCCCUAUUUAUAUUAAAAUGAGAAACACUGAGUUAGAUAAGAUUACCCUUAUGUUACAGAUCAAAAUCCUCAGAAACAAAAAGUUUUCCAGCUCAGAUUGUGAAGAUCUUCUCAAGUUUUGUCAAGCAAUUGGGACAGUAAGUAUAGCAAAGGUAGAGGCGGGUAUUAAUGAUUACUAACUGUCUGCUUCAUUGAGCUCAUUGCAACAGUAGAUGGAGAAUACUGGAGAAGAGAAUAUAAUCAGCCCCCCAUACCCAUGGGUUCCACAUUCGUGGAUUCAAUCAACUUUGGAUCAAAAAUUUAAAAAAAAACAUGACAAUAAAAAACAACACAAAUCUUAAAAACAAUAAAGCUUAACAAUUAUUUACAUAGCAUUUAUAUUAGGUAUUGUAAGUAAUCUGG
rnacentral:lncRNA from 10 species